rnacentral:rRNA from 1 species
AUUGAACGCUGGCGGCAGGCUUAACACAUGCAAGUCGAGCGGAGAUGAGGUGCUUGCACCUUAUCUUAGCGGCGGACGGGUGAGUAAUGCUUAGGAAUCUGCCUAUUAGUGGGGGACAACAUUCCGAAAGGAAUGCUAAUACCGCAUACGCCCUACGGGGGAAAGCAGGGGAUCUUCGGACCUCGCGCUAGUAGAUGAGCCUAAGUCGGAUUAGCUAGUUGGUGGGGUAAAGGCCUACCAAGGCGACGAUCUGUAGCGGGUCUGAGAGGAUGAUCCGCCACACUGGGACUGAGACACGGCCCAGACUCCUACGGGAGGCAGCAGUGGGGAAUAUUGGACAAUGGGCGGAAGCCUGAUCCAGCCAUGCCGCGUGUGUGAAGAAGGCCUUUUGGUUGUAAAGCACUUUAAGCAAGGAGGAGGCUACCUGGAUUAAUACUCUGGGAUAGUGGACGUUACUCGCAGAAUAAGCACCGGCUAACUCUGUGCCAGCCGCCGCCGUAAGAC